GUAGAUAUAGCUCAGCUGGUUAGAGCGCCGGAUUGUGAUUCCGGAGGUCGUGGGUUCGAGCCCCAUUAUUUACCC
rnacentral:tRNA from 1 species